UAAAGUGGCGCACGGGUGAGUAACACGUGACUAACCUACCCUCGAGUGGGGAAUAACCUAGAGAAAUCUGGGCUAAUACCGCAUAACACUUACGAGUCAAAGCAGCAAUGCGCUUGGGGAGGGGGUCGCGGCAGAUUAGCUAGUUGGCGGGGUAAUGGCCCACCAAGGCAAUGAUCUGUAUCCGGCCUGAGAGGGCGCACGGACACACUGGAACUGAAACACGGUCCAG
rnacentral:rRNA from 1 species